rnacentral:lncRNA from 1 species
GUCUGAUCAAACUGAUCUGGCAUCUUCUGCACAUUGGGUUUGAUGCACCGAACAAAGAAAGGAUUUGAAGAACUCAGCGUUGCCAUUAAGGAAUGGAGUGAUUCCUUGAACUGUAGACUGACAGUGGGUUUUCUGUGCUUGCUUCCGCAUUUAAGAGUGUCUUGAUUGUUGCGACUUGAAACGUGUUCAAAUAGAUCAUAGAUGAAAUCAAGACUGCUUUCACGUAGCAAGUUCAGGAGAUCAUCUCUGAAUGUAUCUCUGUUCUUCUCCAAGAUCCCCCG